UUGAAAUAUAGAGGAAAGUCCGGGCUCCAUAGGACAUGAUGCUGGCUAACGGCCAGGAGCAGCAAUGCUACAGAUAGUGCAACAGAGAGUAGACCGCCGAAAGGUAAGGGUGAAAGGGCAGUGUAAGAGACUACCGCUUGACUGGUGACAGUUAAGGCAUGGUAAACCUCAUCAGGAGCAAGGCCAAGUAUGUAACUGGCUUGUCCGGCUAUAGUUACGGGUAGGCUGCUUGAGCUGCAGAGUAAUCUGCCGCCUAGAUAGAUGAUUGCAUAAACAGAACUCGGCUUAUCA
rnacentral:RNase_P_RNA from 1 species